rnacentral:lncRNA from 1 species
GGUGCUGAGUUCAGGGCAUGAUAGAGUAGUAUUAGAGUUUAAGGUUAUGAUCUAUAACGGUUGUGACUUAAGGGAUAUUGAACCUAAGGUUAUGAUUCCUAAGGAUGUGAUAGAAUGAUAUCUCAAAGUUUAGGUUAUGAUAAUUAGGGACUAUUCUUAAGUGGUAUUUGAGUAUAAAGUUAUGAUCAUUAGGGACAAGUCUGAAUUUUGGAUCAAUAGGUAUUAUAAUGAAAUUUGUGCAUAACUGGUUUAUAAUGUGUAUAAUAGAACUGAUGAGUUGUAGGGUUUUAGGGUGGA